rnacentral:rRNA from 1 species
AGUCGAGCGAGACCUUCGGGUCUAGCGGCGGACGGGUGAGUAACGCGUGGGAACGUGCCCUUUGCUACGGAAUAGUCCCGGGAAACUGGGUUUAAUACCGUAUGUGCCCUUCGGGGGAAAGAUUUAUCGGCAAAGGAUCGGCCCGCGUUGGAUUAGGUAGUUGGUGGGGUAAUGGCCUACCAAGCCGACGAUCCAUAGCUGGUUUGAGAGGAUGAUCAGCCACACUGGGACUGAGACACGGCCCAGACUCCUACGGGAGGCAGCAGUGGGGAAUCUUAGACAAUGGGGGCAACCCUGAUCUAGCCGUGCCGCGUGAGUGAUGAAGGCCUUAGGGUUGUAAAGCUCUUUCAGCUGGGAAGAUAAUGACGGUACCAGCAGAAGAAGCCCCGGCUAACUCCGUGCCAGCAGCCGCGGUAAUACGGAGGGGGCUAGCGUUGUUCGGAAUUACUGGGCGUAAAGCGCACGUAGGCGGACUGGAAAGUUGGGGGUGAAAUCCCGG